AACAUUAAAUGGUCGGUAACAAUGAGAGGAAUCGAUUACAGCAUUAACGGAGAGUGCAUGAACUUGUACACGGCGACCAUCACCUUGCGUACGCCCAAUAUCCAAGUAGAGCAGAGUGGACCUUACGCAUGUUUCAUAUUUACGUCUACUUCCGUUUGGCUACAUGAAGGGGCAACUCUGACUGUCCGACCUACAAAAAACACAUCAACAUUCGUUACAUGGUAUGAUGAAACAACUGGUAGAGUGAACAUAUCAAAAGCCAGACGUGCACAGUUCCACACAGGGGAUGUCAUCAAACUCAUAGCCCUCUUUGUCAUUUGCAUUUAUUUAAUAAAAACAGUGUAGAGAAUGAUUGAUUAGAAAAAUGUGAGAUCCCUUGAUUAAAUCUAUUUUAAUAAACCA